rnacentral:rRNA from 1 species
CAGACUUGACAUCUGCGGAAUAUCUUUGAAAGAAGAUAGUGCCCUUUGGGGAGCCGCAAGACAGGUGCUGCAUGGCUGUCGUCAGCUCGUGUCGUGAGAUGUUGGGUUAAGUCCCGUAACGAGCGCAACCCCUGUCCUUAGUUGCCAGCACGUAAUGGUGGGAACUCUAAGGAGACUGCCGGUGACAAACCGGAGGAAGGUGGGGGCGACGUCAAGUCAUCAUGGCCCUUAUGGGUAGGGCUACACACGUGCUACAAUGGGCAGUACAGAGGGUUGCAAUACCGCGAGGUGGAGCUAAUCUCAGAAAACUGUUCGUAGUCCGGAUUGCACUCUGCAACUCGAGUGCAUGAAGUCGGAAUCGCUA